AAACUUUCAACAACGGAUCUCUUGGCUCUGGCAUCGAUGAAGAACGCAGCGAAACGCGAUAAGUAAUGUGAAUUGCAGAAUUUAGUGAAUCAUCGAAUCUUUGAACGCACAUUGCGCCCGCCAGUAUUCUGGCGGGCAUGCCUGUCCGAGCGUCAUUAC
rnacentral:rRNA from 2 species